UAUAUACAUAUUAUAAGACCCCUGUCGUAACCCCUAUCGUAACUCCUAUCGUAACUCCUAUCGUAACUCCUAUCGUAACUCCUGACGUAUAAAAACAUGAACGUUAACACGUUUGAAAACACCUUAAAUUUACUGGUAAAAGAAGAUUUUAAUUAUGAAAAAAAAUAUAUACAAAACAACAGUUGUGCAUUAAACAUGAAUUAUUCAACUGGUAAAAUAAAAAAUGUAGCUUGUAACUCGUUACCAAAAAUACAAAAUAAUAAUAACAUAUUAUAUAGUAAAGAGUUAUGCGAAAAAGACAUUAAAUAUGAGGAUGAAAUACAGCUUAAUCAAAAUGAAAUAAUUGAUAAUGUACAAUAUGAACAAAAAAAUAUACAUACACAUGCACAGGAAAUAAAAUAUAAUCAAAGUGGUACGAAUAUUCACAGUAAUCAUAGUAUCCCUAAGAAAUCUAUAACUCCAACAAAUAAUAUAAAUAUUAAUACUAAUAUAAAUGUAUGUAAUAAUAUAAUAAAUGAAACAAAUAAAAAUGAAAAUAUUAAUUUAUUUUGUCAAAAUAAAAAUGAAAAUAUUAAUUUAUUUUGCCAAAAUAAAAAUUCAACUACUAUUGAUACCAGUAAAACACGAUACAACAGUUUAAACAGUAUUUUCCAAUUCAAUAGUGAUACAAAUACAUACGAAUCGCUCAGUCCAUUUUCAGAUAAUAUAAAUUAUGAAUAUACAGAAAACAAAAAAAAAAACAUAUCUUGUGAUGAUUUAUACAACGAAUUAAAUGUAGAAAAUAAAAAAAUAGAUGACAUAUUAUAUAUAAAUAAUAAUAAAACAGAAAAUAUAUAUGAAUAUAAUCAAUUUGAUGAUAAUACCAAAAAUAAUGUUUUUGUUGGAAACGAUUCUGUUCAGAAGGAUUAUAUUCAGAAGGAUUAUAUUCAGAAGGAUGGAGAUAAUAUGUGUCAUAAUAAUAGUGACAUAAUUCAAUGUAGUGUUAAUAACAAUACGAACCAAUCUAAUCAAUUUUUAUAUGAUUAUAGUAAGGAAGGGAACGACAUUAAAAGUGUAAUACCAGCUGUAGUAAUAGUAGGAGAGACAACAGUACCAACAACUAUAGCACCACAAAUAGUACCAGUAACGGAACCCACCACAUAUUAUAGCCUAAGACAAAGAAAAAUCGAAGAAAAAAAAGCAAUAAAAGAAAGAAAAAUGAAAAGAAUGCUUGCUGCUGAAUUAAGAGAAAAAAUAAAAGAAGAGAAAAGGGCAGCAAGAGAAUAUAGAAGAUUGGAAAAANAAAAAAAAAAAAAAAAAAAAAAAAAAGUCGAAGGAAGGAUUUAUAAAGUCGUAGUAAGAGGUAAAGAAUGUUGGAGAGCAGAAUGGCUAGUUAAACAAAAAGAAAAUAUAAAUAUAAAUGCGUAUAAUAAUAAAAAUGACGAAUUGAAAAAAAAUAAUGAUAAAGAUACAAAACCUGUCAUGAUAAAAAAGAGUAAACAGUUUUCAGUUUCAGUAUAUGGACAUGAAAAUGCUAGAUUAUUUUCAAUUUUUGAAUUAAUAAAAUAUAAUUCUGUACCUGACCGUUUAAAAAAUGAAGCUAAUAUAUGUAUACAAAAAAUAAAAAAAAAUAUUGUAAAUUCAGGAAAUUUUACUAAUAAAUCUUUUAGUAACAAUUUUCUUCAAUUUAUAUUGGCUGGUGAAAAUUGCGAAAAUUAUUUGAGAAAUGGCAAUGAAAUGGGGUCAUAUUUGAUAAAAAAAUUAAGCGAAAAUUACACUUGCAAUAACAAAGAUUCUUAUGAUAAAGACGAUUCUUGUAAUAAAGACGGUUUUUGUAAUAAAGACGGUUUUUGUAAUAAAGACGGUUUUUGUAAUAAAGACAGUUUUUGUAAUAAAGACAGUUUUUGUAAUAAAGACAGUUUUUGUAAUACGGAUGAUUCAUAUGAUAAAGAUGGUUCAUGUAAUAACGACGAAUUCUAUAAUAACAACGGUUUUUGUUACAAUGAGAGUUUUGAUAAUAACAAUAAAUUUUAUCAUGAUGGUGAUGGUACAUUACAUAAAGAAACUGAUUGUACUAAUGUACCAUUUUUAUAUACCAUGUCAAAUAAUAAUAUGAACAACAAUGACAUGAACAGUCAUAACAAUGUGAAUAACAAUAUGAGCAAUAGUAAGAAUAUGAACAGUAGUAAUAAUAAUAACUUUUCAAUGGAUAAACAAAAUGAAAUGUAUGUAUAAAAAAGUAAACAAAAAAUCACGACUAAUUUGCUUACUAAUGAGUUAAUAGAUACAAAUUAUUUAUCUUAUAAUAAUAACCCUGGUCUUAAUGUAGUUCAUAAUAAUAAUACUCUCAAGUUGAAAUAUGAAGGUAAAUAAAACAUGACACAUAAAACUUACA
rnacentral:lncRNA from 1 species